rfam:Glycine soja cultivar W05 scaffold3432_13, whole genome shotgun sequence.
UUUUUAUUGGACAUUGACUAUCACGUGUCGCGCACUUAUUGGAUGUUAAUUUCGUGUACCUAAUUAACAUUAAUCUCCAAUAAAAUCACGACAUGUGAUAGUCAGCGUCC